GAGCCCGUGGUUGAAUGGUUAGAGCGUUUGACUUCUAAUCAACAGGUCACGGGUUCA
rnacentral:tRNA from 1 species